rnacentral:rRNA from 1 species
UACGUAGGGCGCAAGCGUUUGUCCGGAAUUAUUGGGCGUAAAGAGCUCGUAGGCGGUCUGUCGCGUCGGAUGUGAAAGCCCGGGGCUUAACCCCGGGUCUGCAUUCGAUACGGGCAGACUAGAGUGUGGUAGGGGAGAUCGAAUUCCUGGUGUAGCGGUGAAAUGCGCAGAUAUCAGGAGGAACACCGGUGGCGAAGGCGGAUCUCUGGGCCAUUACUGACGCUGAGGAGCGAAAGCGUGGGGAGCGAACAGG